UGAGGAAUAUGUGGCAAUGAAGGAAAGCUUGACCAAGCAAUGCCGCUUGAAAGAUGAAUGCUUUUAGGUGGUAAACUUCUUUUGUCAAUGAUUAUUUUGUGAAAUUAGUGGAGGAAAAAGCACCAGCUAAAUACGUGCCAGCAGCCGCAGUAAUACAUGAGGUGCAAGUGUUGUACGGAAGUUUUGGGCGUAAAGCAUCUGUUAUGGUACUCUUAAGUUCGUUAUAAAUUCUAAGGCCUUAACUUAGUUGGGCAUAGUAUACUGGUAUACUUGAGUAUGAUUUGGGUAAAAGGAACUUCUAGUGUAGCGGUGAAAUGUGUAGAUAUUAGAUAGAACACCAAUGGUGAACACAUUUUACUAGUUUAAUACUGACAUUCAGAGACGAGAGCUAAGUGAGCAAAAC
rnacentral:rRNA from 1 species